GCAAAGGAAGAAGGCAAAAGGAAAGCAAGAGAGAGAAAGAAAGGAAGAAGUGACCUGAUCAAGCGCAGACACUGGCUUGACUUUGCUUUGGGAUCACUCACCGCUCAAGUUGCCAUCUGUCACAAUUAAAGAGUAGUUGGAGGAUCUCUGGAGUAGUUUUUCCAUGGAAUCAGGCUCUGCAAGUGUCAAUAAUUGCCAUCCUAAGGAAGCCAUAGGCAGCUGAGAAGAUCUCCAUUUAAUCCAUUUCUGGAAGCACAAGGUCCAUCCAUUCCUUGCGAGGUGUGACUCUAAACCAGCUUCACCUCCAGGCAAGUCAUCAGGCAAAGAGCAGCCAGUGCUGGAGCCCUCUCUGUGCAAGGUUCUCCAGGAGCCCCGAUAAAUCCUUGUGCUGAGGAGUGACUCUAAUAUGUAGAGGACAUGGAAGAGGAG